rnacentral:rRNA from 1 species
GGCUAACCAUGCAGUCGAGCGAGACCUUCGGGUCUAGCGGCGGACGGGUGAGUAACGCGUGGGAACGUGCCCUUCUCUACGGAAUAGCCCCGGGAAACUGGGAGUAAUACCGUAUACCCCCUUUGGGGGAAAGAUUUAUCGGAGAAGGAUCGGCCCGCGUUGGAUUAGGUAGUUGGUGGGGUAAUGGCCCACCAAGCCGACGAUCCAUAGCUGGUUUGAGAGGAUGAUCAGCCACACUGGGACUGAGACACGGCCCAGACUCCUACGGGAGGCAGCAGUGGGGAAUCUUAGACAAUGGGGGCAACCCUGAUCUAGCCAUGCCGCGUGAGUGAUGAAGGCCUUAGGGUUGUAAAGCUCUUUCAGCUGGGAAGAUAAUGACGGUACCAGCAAAAGAAGCCCCGGCUAACUCCGUGCCAGCACCCCCGG